rnacentral:rRNA from 1 species
AGCGUAGACGGCAAAGCAAGUCUGAAGUGAAAGCCCCGGGCUCAACCCGGGAACUGCUUUGGAAACUGUUUAGCUAGAGUGCAGGAGAGGUAAGUGGAAUUCCUAGUGUAGCGGUGAAAUGCGUAGAUAUUAGGAGGAACACCAGUGGCGAAGGCGGCUUACUGGACUGUAACUGACGUUGAGGCUCGAAAGCGUGGGGAGCAAACAG